UUGUCCUCGGGGGGCAGCAGUGAGGAAUAUUGGUCAAUGGGCUUACGCCUGAACCAGCCAAGUCGCGUGAGGGAAGACUGCCCUAUGGGUUGUAAACCUCUUUUGUCAGGGAGCAACGCCGGCUACGUGUAGCCGGACUGAGAGUACCUGAAGAAAAAGCAUCGGCUAACUCCGUGCCAGCAGCCGCGGUAAUACGUAGGGGGCGAGCGUUAUCCGGAAUUACUGGGUGUAAAGGGAGCGUAGACGGCGAGGUAAGCCUGAAGUGGAAGCCCGCGGCCCAACCGCGGAACUGCUUUGGGAACUGU
rnacentral:rRNA from 1 species